rnacentral:rRNA from 1 species
UACGAAGGGGGCUAGCGUUGUUCGGAAUUACUGGGCGUAAAGGGCGCGUAGGCGGUGUGUCAAGUCAGGCGUGAAAGCCCCGGGCUCAACCUGGGAACCGCGCUUGAGACUGGCACGCUCGAGUUCGGGAGAGGAUGGUGGAAUUCCCAGUGUAGAGGUGAAAUUCGUAGAUAUUCGGAGGAACACCAGUGGCGAAGGCGGCUCACUGGUCCAUUACUGACGCUGAGGUGCGAAAGCGUGGGGAGCAAACAGG